GAUCCUGGCUCAGGAUGAACGCUAGCGGCAGGCUUAACACAUGCAAGUCGGAGGGGGCAGCAUAAAUGGGUAGUAAAUACUAUUGAUGGCGACCGGCGGACGGGUGCGUAACGCUAUGCAACCUACCCUUUACAGGGGGAUAACACUGAGAAAUCGGUACUAAUACCCCAUAAUAUUCUGGGAGGCAUCUUUCGGAGUUGAAAGCUUUGGUGGUAAAGGAUGGGCAUGCGUUGUAUUAGCUAGUUGGUAAGGUAACCGG
rnacentral:rRNA from 1 species